rnacentral:rRNA from 1 species
UACGAAGGGGGCUAGCGUUGUUCGGAAUCACUGGGCGUAAAGCGCACGUAGGCGGAUCUUUAAGUCAGGGGUGAAAUCCCGAGGCUCAACCUCGGAACUGCCUUCGAUACUGCGGGUCUCGAGUCCGGGAGAGGUGAGUGGAAUUCCUAGUGUAGAGGUGAAAUUCGUAGAUAUUAGGAAGAACACCAGUGGCGAAGGCGGCUCACUGGCUCGGUACUGACGCUGAGGCGCGAAAGCGUGGGGAGCAAACAGG